UUUAAUUGAAGAGUUUGAUCAUGGCUCAGAUUGAACGCUGGCGGCAGGCCUAACACAUGCAAGUCGAGCGGU
rnacentral:rRNA from 3 species